rnacentral:rRNA from 1 species
UACAGAGGGUGCAAGCGUUGUUCGGAAUUAUUGGGCGAAAAGCGCGUGUAGGCGGCAGUGCAAGUCGGGUGUGAAAGCCCUCAGCUCAACUGAGGAAGUGCGCCCGAAACUGCAUUGCUUGAGUACCGGAGAGGAUGGCGGAAUUCCCGAAGUAGAGGUGAAAUUCGUAGAUAUCGGGAGGAACACCGGUGGCGAAGGCGGCCAUCUGGACGGAUACUGACGCUGAGACGCGAAAGCGUGGGUAGCAAACAGG